GUAUAGGAAGAAUACAGAUAGUAUUCUUCAGUACAGAUAAUACCGCUGUACAGUACAGAUAAUAUUACUGCUAUUACAGAAUCAGCAAGUUGAAUGCAUGCUUCAGGGAAUAGGGAAAUGAAUGCGGACUUUUUCUAACUGAUUUAGAUGGUCUGUCUGACCUCUCUAGAAAAAUAUGUGUGUAUGUAUAUUUUGAAAUAUAUAAGGAAUGUUAAGUCUUUCUCUUCCCCUUUUUAGCCUUAGAUUGUAAGCAAAAGAAAUCAAGGUCAAGAUCUGGAAGCAAGAAGAAAAUGCUAACAUUACCUCAUGGUGCUGACGAGGUUUACAUUCUCCGAUGCAGGUUUUGUGGCCUAGUCUUUCGAGGACCCUUGUCUGUUCAGGAAGACUGGAUUAAGCACUUACAACGACAUAUUGUAAACGCUAAUCUUCCACGGACUGGAGCUGGCAUGGUGGAAGUCACGUCACUACUUAAAAAGCCUGCCUCCAUUACAGAAACUUCAUUUUCUCUACUAAUGGCCGAAGCAGCUUCAUAGAACCAGG
rnacentral:lncRNA from 1 species